rnacentral:rRNA from 1 species
UACAGAGGGUGCAAGCGUUAAUCGGAAUUACUGGGCGUAAAGCGCGCGUAGGUGGUUUAUUAAGUCGGAUGUGAAAUCCCCGGGCUCAACCUGGGAAUGGCAUUCGAAACUGGUGAACUAGAGUAUGGUAGAGGGAAGGGGAAUUCCAGGUGUAGCGGUGAAAUGCGUAGAUAUCUGGAGGAACAUCAGUGGCGAAGGCGCCUUCCUGGACUAAUACUGACACUGAGGUGCGAAAGCGUGGGUAGCAAACAGG